GCUCUUCCGAUCUGUAUAUUCCAGCAUAUCCAUAGUAUUCUGUAUCCAUAGUGCUGUAGUUAACAACAUAUCCCAUAUAUGGAGAUUACUCGGGUAACAAUAUUGUUAGCGUGCGCGUUGCAUAGAGCUUGUAUCCCUGGACCCUGUAUCCCUGGAAGCAUAUAUGCUAUAUAAGAUGGUGUGUUGCUACAAUAAAAUUGGACGCAUCUCAUAUUGAGUUGAUCGUGCGUUCCCCACGCGAGUACCGGUAGGGCAACCCAUUGGGGAUACCGGGGCGUUCCCCAACAUUUGGCGCCUGAACAGGGACAAAUGAUUACUAGAUAGGGACCCUACCCAGGGAGCGUGAAGGGCGGACCGCAUUUUCCUCCGUUGCACUGUUGGCAGCGGAGAAGCCUUUUUGGCUUGCCAAGGGUAGCGGAUCCGGGGUCUACCGUGCCUUCUUUUGCAGAUGCUGGCCAGCGCAGCUCCAUCUAUCUUCACUGGUGAAUUGAUUACGUUGCGUUACGUCGCGGGGAUGGAGUGGGAGGUAGCCCAAUUACUGUUAUUGCGCUUUUUAGAAAAGCAGGGGGUCGAUGCGGGGACGUUAAAAUUAGUUCCUGACCCAUUAGAUUUUAUUAUGCUUUUUAGAAAAGCGGGGACGAUGAAGUUAAUCCCUAAGUUAUUAGAUUAUGGUCGCUCGUCAGGUGCGUCUUUGCAUGCCAGGACAUUGCAUAAUGUCGAGGAGUGGCGAAAGAUGGGCAAUAUGCUAUGGGUAUGGGAUCAUGUGAUUAAUGAUCGUAAAGAGGCAAAGAAAUUAAUGAAACUGUGGCGAGAAAUUAUUAAUUGUAUUAAGCGCCACAAGGUGGAACAGGAUGUUGCGGAUCAAGCAGCUAAGCAGCUGGGGUUAUCAACACCUGUGGCGCAGAGGGGUACCCAGGAUCGGCCGUACCCUUCCUUAGGUAUACCUGUUUCGGUGAAAAAUAUGGAUAGUAUUGUUCCCUCUGCUCCUGUUACUGCUGUUGCAGGGGACCCUGAGUCCGAAUCUGCUUUGUUUCCCCCAGGAGAGGGUAAUGAAGAUUUACCCCCUCCUUUGCCUCCACCCCCACCUUCUCCCAACAAGGUGUGUUUGUCCAGGGGCGCAACCUCUGCUGUAUCGGUUGGUCACCCAAAAUGGGCUAACAUAGCUCGCCAGGCGGUGGGAUACGGAGAUGCAGUGCACCAUGGAUAAACCGGUAGCGCACUGGUUACUUACCUGCUUUUUACAAAAGCGAAUGGGCUUUUUAUUCUCUCUAAGAGAGGUGAAGCAGUCCGAUCAAAGGACUUGGAGCAGUUGCUGAGCUGGGCUAAGGCUCAGGGCUGCAUGAAAAACGUGGAGAAAGUAUCGUGACUGUUAUGAGUCAGUUUUGCUUGGGAACUAUGGGGAGCUCUCUAACGAAGGAGCAACAAGUAAAUCCCAAAGAAGUACAGAGAAUUUUAAAGUUUCAGAAUCGAACUGUAUCUACCUUCAGCAUGAGUUACCUUUGCUAAAUGGUUAAGCAAAAAUGCCCCUGAGUUUUCGAAAUCUGGGUUUUCUUUUGAUGGGGCAGUUUUGGGACAAAGUUUGCAUAAGACUCUGGAAUGCUUUUGCCUGUUUGACGCUGAAUCUCGGCAGCGCUCAAACAAGUUCAACAGGGAAGGACGAAUCCUUCCGGCUACUUGCCGCUGCCCCUCGAUGAGGAAAGCAGCUUCUGCCGGACCCGAUCCGGGACUUCAACCCCUCCCCCAGUCGGGGAGAAGAAAGAGUGCAGCCCUCGGAGAACACCGCCGCCGCCGCUGCUGCGAGGCGCCCGCAGCACCCGCGGCCACAGUUCACUCCAGAUUUUCCCUGCCUCGCGACCGCCGUCUGUAACCCCCCCCGACGCUCGCUGCGCCGCUGCUGCCCGCGCCCCCACCUCUGCUCGCCGUGCCGUUCCGCUUCUGCUGCCCGCGUGUACUUUUGUUAAAGACAAGGAUGGACUGCAACUAGAGAAUCUUUUUGAUCCUAGCCCAGUAGAUCCGCAGAACGAACUGGAUUUCUCCCUCCUGACGACAUAUUGCUACUAAAAAGAUUUGGACUGGAGUCCUGUGCAUUCAUUUGUUUCUACAACUGCUAUGGCUGACUAUCCCAGACGAAUAUCCACUUCCCCCGCCCUCCCUAAAAAAUAUCAGUUAACUAACUCUUUGUAUGUUACAGGUGUCAAACCACACGGCUGCAAUUUAUUCUUAAAAGAAAAAGGGGGGAAAUACGGGAGACAUGCCACAAGAGAGAUUAUGUAAGACUUUGCUUGUGUUGAAAUUUUUGGAUAAUCUAGGUUACUGUGUGCUGCUUCUGUUUUAGUAGGAGACAAAAUGUGAAUUGAACAGGAUUUGAUGUUACCAAUGCUAGGGAAUGACUCUUUUAGUGUAAUUUUACCACCUCAUUGUCAAUAAUUCUUGGUUAUGAUGUUAUUAGCCUAUCAUUUAGCAUUUUCUUAAUCUGUGAAGGCAAAACCUGGAAAGGAAUCCCAGGCAAAGGGUUGACCCUGUACUAUAGAAUGAUUAACUGUUUUUCAUCCCACUAGUCAGGAUUUCGAAAACAUGACUACGCAUCACUCGAGACAAAGGUGCACACUAUCUUACUUCGAUUCCACAUGUGAGUCUAAUAUAGGAUUCUGGAGUAUUGCCCAACAGAUUUUUAGUUCACUGGUCCCUUCAAUUGGCACCUAUAUCCGGGGCCCAAACGCCCCUCACUAUAGAAUGAUCUUGGGAUACUCUGAUAGUUCUAAGGGAACUGACAAUUGAGUCUAUAGUUGUAAAUAUUUUGUUUCAUAGAGAGAGCUGACCUUAGUAGCUUGUUUUGCUUUAUGAACAGGUGUUCCACUUGGGCUCUGUAUAUCGCACUGGCCAUGCGGAUGCAGUGUACAAAUGGAAAAAACCCUGCAGACCCUGAGAAGAAUAAAAGCAGGAGAGAGUCUGUGGUGGGUGAGAGAGGAGAAGUGCACUUUGAAGCAGGGGACACCCUGCUGGCACUACCUAUCGCACCCACCGCUGCCGUGUUUCUUCUCUCCUUUCUGGUGGUUUGUCACCUUUCAAGGGUCAAUAAGUAAUAAUAGAUUAGCUUAGGGAGUUUCUGAUUCCUGCUGUGUAUGUUGAUUGGAACUCAUUCUUUUUAAUGGGUUUGACAGUAUUUCUUGUCAUUAUGCUGUUUGCCUUGUAUCUUUUCUUAUGUUUAGUGUGUUGUCAAUAGAGGUUCUGAUUGAAUUAUGAUGGUUAUAUUAUUAAUAUGAUUAGUGCUAUUAUUUUAUAGAAUGGUUAAAGAUUGAUAAGGAACUUAAAACUGCUUCUCACAAAAAGUGUCGGUCUCUCAAAAUCCUUGACAGCACCUGUUCUGACAAGGUACAGUUGUGGAGCGUGACUGCUAGGAUUUUUGCCUCAUUCCUAGCCCCAGGAGUUGCUGCCGCCCAAGCCUUGAAGCAGAUUGAACGUCUUGCUUGUUGGACUGUUAAACAGAGUAAUCAUACGUCAGAGAUCCUUGAAGAAAUGUUAGAAGAUAUGAACAGCCUUCGCCAUGCAGUUCUGCAGAAUCGAGCUGCUAUAGACUUUCUUUUACUUGCUCAAGGGCAUGGCUGUAAAGAAUUUGAUGGAAUGUGUUGUUUUAAUCUUUCUGAUCAUAGCGAAUCAAUUCAAAAACAAAUUCAUUGGUUGCUUAAUCACACUCGAUCCAUUACUAAGGACCAUAAUCCUAUUGAUGAUUGGUUGCAUUCUGUGUUUCCAGGUCUUACUCCUUGGAUAUAUGAUAUUAUUAAGGAAGGUUUCAAAUGGAUCUUAAUAUUAUUCUACUUGUGAUAGUUGCUAGAAUAUUGUAUAGUUGUCUGCUGCGUGCUACCGCGCCAAAAGCUUCACUUGUUGUGACUGACAACAAGGAUUCGGACAUCAUUCUUGAUUGGCUGCAAGAUCAAGGGGGGCACAAUCCAAAGGAUUGUUUUGCCUUACAGCCCUAAAAGAAAAAGGGGGGAAUUGUUGAGAAGCAGCUUGCUCGGCAGCACAUAGCUACUGAUUUACUAAUGAUUUAUGAUGUAAUGAUGUAAUCCCUAGAUACGUGGAAUGUGGUGUUUCCAGUGUGUUCUAGUAUAUUCCAGCAUAUCCAUAGUA